CUCAUAUUGAAAACACACUUUCUUAGGUCCCCAGUGCCUGCCAGCACAGGAUGGGGUGUCCACUCUGUGAGAAGGAGGCUGUACCUAUUUGUUUCUGGUUUUGUCUAAUUGGUGGGCUUAUGCUAAAUGCCUCGAACUGAGUGACAAGGAGGGUCUGGCAUUUCAUUAAAAUUAGGAGGGGAAUCUGAACAUCAAAACGCCAAAGAGGUAACAAGACCUCAGAAGAAAAUGGCUACUUAUCUACAUGGGAAGGUAAAUCUAGUCCUCAUUUAUCUCACCCAUCCCCAAAUAUAAGAUGAAGAGAUGA
rnacentral:lncRNA from 1 species